UACGUAGGGUGCAAGCGUUGUCCGGAAUUAUUGGGCGUAAAGGGCGCGUAGGCGGCUUGGCAAGUGGAUGGUGAAAUCCCUCGGCUUAACCGAGGAACUGCCGUCCAAACUGCUUCGCUUGAGACCGGGAGAGGUGAGUGGAAUUCCCAGUGUAGCGGUGAAAUGCGUAGAUAUUGGGAGGAACACCAGUGGCGAAGGCGGCUCACUGGACCGGUACUGACGCUGAUGCGCGAAAGCGUGGGGAGCAAACGGGG
rnacentral:rRNA from 1 species